rnacentral:tRNA from 1 species
GAGGGUAUAGCUCAAGUGGUAGCGCACGUGCUUAGCAUGCACGAGGUCCUGGGUUCAAUCCCCAGCACCUCCU